UUUGAGAGAAAGAAUGAACAGAGGAAUCUGUGGGACACUGAGGACUUGAUGAAUUAUGCUUUGCUCUUCUAGACAGACCAUCAUAUCAUUCUAGACAUAUCAUCUGGCAAAUACAGUCACCUCAGUACAUUCUCAUCACGUUAGAAAAGGUACCAGAGAGUACACACACACACACACACACACACACACACACACACACACACACACAGAUAUGCAUACAUAAGACGGUUGUAGAACACAAAAUAUCCUACCUAAAUGAAUUAGAAAUGAAAGCAAUAGAUUGGACAUAUGAAUAGAAGGUACAAUAAAAGCAGGAUUUGAUUUCUAGCCCCAGCUAUCCCAAGUCCUUCUUCAUCCUUCCCAAGAGUUUCCAUCGCUAAGGUCUGGAAGGCCUGCUCUGCUUUCCAUCGCUAAGGUCUGGAAGGCCUGCUCUGCUUUCCAUCGCUAAGGUCUGGAAGGCCUGCUCUGCUUUCCAUCCCUAAGGUCUGGAAGGCCUGCUCUGCUUUCCAUCCCUAAGGUCUGGAAGGCCUGCUCUGCUUUCCAUCGCUAAGGUCUGGAAUGCUUUCUGUGCUUCCCUCUUUCUCUUCUGGUAGCAUCCAUGAGGGAACCCAGGCCAGCCAAUUGUAUGUUGGUCACUUCCCCUUCCUCUCUCACCAGGUACCACACGCUUACAACCCCCACACUCACAGACCAUUUAGCAGGGGGCUCGUAGGCCCUGGGCACAUAGCCGCAUCAUAAUCCACGCAUGGGAACACUCAUGACCAUGUUCAGGCUCAUGACCCAUUCUACCACCCUGGUGCUUCAUAGCUUUCAGCAUUCUAUGUCUCCCAACUCGUACAACUGUGAAUGUCACUGGUUUAUUCUCAGAACACAUUCCUGUCAUCUGCAAACACAUCAGAGUCCUCUUGGAAGUGAGGACCAGGUUACCUGAUCAGAUUCCACCAUUUCUUUACACGACCUUAGAAAUAAACUGCACGGAACAUUGUGAAUUAUCUUUAUUAUUCAGAGGUACACAAGAAUAAGUUUUUAGCUUUCCAUUUGGUGCUUUGGAAUGGGAUUAGCAAUCUGAGGAGAAUUUCCCACUGAAACAUUCUUACACCUAAAGUUUGACGACUAAUUUUUAAAAGUCCCAUCAGCCCUGUCAGGCAGUCGGCAGCUUUCCUUAAACAUGCACUAGUGAUAUUAUCCACUUUAGACCUACUCACUUUAGUAAGUGGUGGCUUGAGUUAUGUAAGCGCUGUAUUCUCUAGUGUUCGGGGAAGCACAAACAUACCAGGUAUGAACACGAAGUCCCCCAGGUGAUUUAUUUAAUGCAACCAAUAAACACGAAAUACUUACCUCCAGACUGAUAUGCAGUAUGGUAAGGCACUAUAGUUCCUAAGAUAUUUAAGUAUGUGUUCUUAGCUAAAUAUAGAAUAUUUGUAGAAUAAUGUAAGGUUCAAGGUGGUUCCCAAACUUUAUAUAAGGAAUGCAAUGAGUGGUAGAUUUGUUUAUACCCAAUGCUAGGUGAGAAGUUAUUCAUAACUUCUCAGAAAUCAGCUUCCAAGAAAUACCUUAAAUUAUUUUUAAAAACUUUUUCAAAGGGCAAUGAUUUCCCAGGAAGCUCCCCUGUGGUCUUUCAUAUUUUGAAACUGAAGAAAUUUCUCUACCUGUGAUCCCCUCCAAAUCUUCAGAAUUUUCCAAAAGGUUUUGACUUAUAACCCAUCUUCUAUAUAUCCCACUCUGUUUAAAAAAAAAUAAAAGGCUGUGAGGUCAUGUUUUAUCCUAAUGCUGUAUAGGAAUUUUUUAAAUGCUACAAGUAUUAUAUCAGAAUAUCAUAAAAUAUCGAUGUGCAUGUAAAUAGUACACAUUGGUAAAUUCUGGAUCUGACAGAAUGGUUUGUAAUGCAAAAUUAGACAACAGUUUUU
rnacentral:sRNA from 1 species